rnacentral:rRNA from 1 species
UACGUAGGGGGCAAGCGUUAUCCGGAUUCACUGGGUAUAAAGGGAGCGUAGACGGCCAUGCAAGCCUGGAGUGAAAGCCCGGGGCCCAACCCCGGGACUGCUCUGGGAACUGUGCGGCUGGAGUGCGGGAGGGGCAGGCGGAAUUCCUGGUGUAGCGGUGAAAUGCGUAGAUAUCAGGAGGAACACCGGCGGCGAAGGCGGCCUGCUGGACCGCGACUGACGUUGAGGCUCGAAAGCGUGGGGAGCAAACAGG